rnacentral:rRNA from 1 species
UACGUAGGGUGCAAGCGUUAAUCGGAAUUACUGGGCGUAAAGCGUGCGCAGGCGGCUUUGCAAGACAGAUGUGAAAUCCCCGGGCUUAACCUGGGAACUGCAUUUGUGACUGCAUGGCUGGAGUGCGGCAGAGGGGGAUGGAAUUCCGCGUGUAGCAGUGAAAUGCGUAGAUAUGCGGAGGACACCGAUGGCGAAGGCAAUCCCCUGGGCCUGCACUGACGCUCAUGCACGAAAGCGUGGGGAGCAAACAGG